rnacentral:rRNA from 1 species
ACGAAGGGGGCUAGCGUUGCUCGGAAUUACUGGGCGUAAAGGGCGCGUAGGCGGAUGUUUAAGUCGGGGGUGAAAGCCCGGGGCUCAACCUCGGAAUUGCCUUCGAUACUGGACAUCUUGAGUACGGGAGAGGUGAGUGGAACUCCGAGUGUAGAGGUGAAAUUCGUAGAUAUUCGGAAGAACACCAGUGGCGAAGGCGACUCACUGGCCCGUUACUGACGCUGAGGCGGGAAAGCGUGGGGAGCAAACAGGA